GUGAAACCCUGUCACUACUAAAAAUACAAAAAUUAGCUGGGCAUGGUGGCACACUCCUGUAGUCCCAGCUACUUGGAAGGCUAAGGCAGGAGAAUCGCUUGAACCUGGGAAGCGGAGGUUGCAGUGAGCCGAGAUCGCACCACUGCACUCCGAUCUGGCAACAGAGUGAGACUCCAUCUCAAAAAAAAAAUGUUUAUAGCACUAUUUGAUGUAUGUUUUCAGUGCUUAACACUAUGCCAGAGGAUGGAAA
rnacentral:lncRNA from 10 species